ensembl:antisense
CGGCUUUUUUAGGUCACAAGACUGCGCCGGCGCGCGCGAGCCUUGAGAAAAAUAACCCCGCGGCCCCGCCGUCGGGGAGCAAACGGACACCGUGGGCAAACCCGGGGAUCCGGCCGAGAUGGAGAGGGAGCACGUGCUUUGUUAACCCCAGCGGCUCCGGCAGGGGACUGGGGAAAAAUGUACUGUUUUUGUGCCGGGGACGGAGAAUGGUUUCCCGCUCUGCCCAAGGAGUCGAUGGCGGAGCGAUACAGGCACCCGCUCGGGCCGCUGCAGGCGGGAGCUAGGCCGCCGCGGAUGGAAAACGUGCGCGGGAGGGGCCGAGGGCGCAGGCGCGGGAGCGAGGGGGGGCGGGAGCGGCCCGCGGCGGCUUCCGGGGGGGAGGGGCGGCGCGGCGGCCGUGCACGCGCUCUGCUGGGCACGUGGGGCCCCUUCGUCCCCGGCGUCCGGGCGCCUCGGCCCAGCCCCCACCCUGGCCUCCGGCCGGCGGCUGCGUCCGCGACGCAGAAAGACCCGAGCGACCGUCACCCGCCCCGCCGAGCGGCGCUCGGCCCGGGGGCGUGCGGAACGGGCGCCGCCGGCAUGGCGUCCAUGUACAUAACGCUUUGUUUGCACUCGGUCGGCUCCGGUUAGGGAAGGCCUCGCAGGCGCCACCUCCCGCCCUCGUGUCUCAGGUCCCACGACAGUUUCCCGAGCCCUUAGAGGAGCGGGGCGCACCGCCCGGGCGCCGCCACGGCCCCCCGCACGUGCGCGCCGGCCCGCCCGCCGCCUGGGCCACGCUCUCGGGAGGCGGCCGAGCCUCGGCGUCGCGGCCGCCAUCUUGGGAGGUCGCCCUGCCCCGAGGCCUCCCGCCGGGACGUGGCCCUCGCGAGGCCGGAGAGCGUCGUCUUUGCCGGCCCCUCGAGCCGCCGCCAUAGGCAGCCCGGAGGAGGUCGUGUGAAGGAACGUGUUCAGUGCCUGACUGAAAGGGCUAGCGUGGCGUCCCCCACCCACCCCACCCCCGAGCGGGGAGGGCUGGCGGCCAUGUUUCCCAACAAAAUGGCGACACGUGUCGCCAUCGAGAAACUGGGCUGGGUCUGGAGUCUCUAGAACGUGCCUUUUGUCAGUCUCAGAAUUUCCCAUAGGAUGAAACGGCAAGAGGUGUUUUGGGAAGAAAGUUAAUGCCCUUGUUAGGCAGCAGAAUAAUUAAAAUGCAGGCCCGACACGAAUUUUUUAAAAAAUUGAGUAAUGGCAGGCAGGUGUGGUGUGUGUGUGUGCGCGUGUGUGUGCGCGCGCGUAGUAUCUAACCAAGUACCCAAGCAUCUAGAAAUUUUUUCUAGUUUUUUUUAAGAUGUUGUACAGGUUAUGGUGUAACUGAUUAAAGAUUGUUAUGGCUAAGAAGCCAUAGAAUGGCUAUGUCUCACUACUCACUCUCCUGUGAUCCUAAAGUUCACAGUUAUGUCCACUUUUAUAGUCAAGAGAAACAGAUUGUGGGUGUGGGUGUGCCACACCAGAUUCCAUUCUAAACAUUUUAUCAUAUGCAAUAUGAUUUUUUUUUAUUGAAAAUUCCAAGAAGUGGGUAUUUAUUUCUCUUUUUUUUCCCCCAACAGAGCAAGACAAAUCCAGAGAGAUGAAGUGACUGACCCAAGGUUACACAGAAUGGAAUCUAUAUCUUCUGAUUUCUCUACUGGCCUGCACUCCAAGUUCUGAGGAGCAGUCCUUGAAGCUGCUGAGAUAAUGGAACAAUGGCGUAGAUAGUCCAUUAUAACUCAUCUGUGAUUCUUCUCAAGUUCAAGUGACCACAGGGCUGCAGAAUUGUUAAGAGUGCCUGCUUGUCUUUGAGAGGACCAGAGUUCAAUUCCCAACACCCGGAAGCUCCAGGGAAUUCAACACUUUCUUCUUGACCUCCUCAAGCACCCCUACAUACAGCUUAUAAACACACAGGGAAAGUAAAGGGGAUCUUAAACACA